UCGAGAAUCAUUCGCAAUGGGCGCAAGCCUGACGAUGCGACGCCGUGUGAGCGAUGAAGGCCUUCGGGUUGUAAAGCUCUUUCGCUUGGGAACAAGAGAGGGUGACUAAUAAUCAUCUAAUUUGAGGGUACCAGGUAAAGAAGCACCGGCUAACUACGUGCCAGCAGCUGCGGUAAUACGUAGGGUGCAAGCAUUAAUCGGAUUUAUUGGGCGUAAAGGGCGCGUAGGCGGAUAGUCAAGUCGUGUGUGAAAUUUCGGGGCUCAACCUCGAAGCGGCACAGGAAACUAACUAUCUAGAGGGUAGAUGGAGAGAAUGGAAUUCCACAAGUAGCGGUGAAAUGCGUAGAUAUGUGGAAGAACACCAGUGGCGAAGGCGAUUCUCUAAUUUAUUCCUGACGCUGAGGCGCGAAAGCAAGGGGAGCAAACA
rnacentral:rRNA from 2 species